rnacentral:rRNA from 1 species
UACGGGGGGGGGCAAGCGUUUGUUCGGAAUUACUGGGCGUAAAGGGCUCGUAGGCGCCAACUAAGUCAGACGUGAAAUCCCUCGGCUUAACCGGGGAACUGCGUCUGAUACUGGUUGGCUUGAGUGUGGGAGAGGGAUGCGGAAUUCCAGGUGUAGCGGUGAAAUGCGUAGAUAUCUGGAGGAACACCGGUGGCGAAGGCGGCAUCCUGGACCAUUACUGACGCUGAGGAGCGAAAGCCAGGGGAGCAAACGGGG